CGAACGGGUGAGUAACGCGUGAGUAACCUGCCCUGGAGUGGGGGGAAACAGUUGGAAACGACUGCUAAUACCGCAUAAGCCCACGGAUCCGCAUGGAUCUGCGGGAAAAGGAUUUAUUCGCUUCAGGAUGGACUCGCGUCCAAUUAGCUAGUUGGUGAGGUAACGGCCCACCAAGGCGACGAUUGGUAGCCGGACUGAGAGGUUGAACGGCCACAUUGGGACUGAGACACGGCCCAG
rnacentral:rRNA from 1 species